UUUUUUUUUUUAGCAUUUUGCAUAUUUGAGGAAGAAGAAAUUUUGGAGACAUUCUAUCCUAAAACGAAGAUCCUUGCAAGACACCAGCACCUUGAUAUUUGACUUCCAGUCUCCAGAACUGAACCUGAACAGUCUGCUGAAGCACCUGAUGUUUGGCCUUUCUGAAUGUCAUGGAACAUGU